rnacentral:rRNA from 1 species
AAUCAACGCUGGCGGCGUGCCUAACACAUGCAAGUCGAACGGGAAAGUGGAGCAAUCCAUGAGUAUAGUGGCGACCGGGUGAGUAACACGUGACUAACCUACCUUCAAGUGGGGGAUAACCUCGGGAAACCGGGGCUAAUACCGCAUAAAAUCUCUGUUAUGAGAAAGCAGGGAUCAAAGGAGCAAUUCGCUGGAAGAGGGGGUCGCGGCUGAUUAGCUAGUUGGUGGGGUAAUGGCCCACCAAGGCUUUGAUCGGUAGCCGGCCUGAGAGGGCGCACGGCCACACUGGAACUGAAACACGGUCCAGACUCCUACGGGAGGCAGCAGUGGGGAAUUUUGCGCAAUGGGGGAAACCCUGACGCAGCAACGCCGCGUGGAGGAUGAAGUCCCUUGGGACGUAAACUCCUUUCGACCGGGAAGAUUAUGACGGUACGGUGGAAGAAGCCCCGGCUAACUUCGUGCCAGCAGCCG